UCCCCCUUGCUACUGGGCAAAGAGGCACCUCUGAAAGUGGUGACUGUCUUAUAUCUAGCAGGGGGACAUAAACUUUACCCUAUUCAUCCCAGCACAGCGUUCUUCCCCGUGGCUGUCUGCUGGUUCAUGCUGGGGAAACACUU